AUAAAAUUGUUGACUGGACUCUGCCUCAGGAAAAGCGGAGCGUGUCCUGGCUUACGUUCAUACCGCUGACUCUGAGUAGUCAAGGCUUUUCUUUGCCUUUUUAUUGUCGCCUCUGCGGUCCUAGGAAUGCACACACGCUUGGGUCAGGCUGCCCCGUGAAGUUUUGUUUUCUAAAGGUUGCUGUUGUUUUGAGGCCAGGGCUUGAUGUGAAGCUUAGGUUGGCCUUGAACUCCUGAUCUUCCUGUCUCAGGCUAUUCAGGUUAUAAGACAAUUCCUGGGAAUGAUAUUGCAGUGAAAUUACUUGGCCCAAAUUACUACCAACUAUCCCUGCAUCUACCUCAAGGAAAGGAUGCCCUUUGAUGCUGUAACAGGCCUCUGAUGAUCACAAAUGGGAAUGUGCAACAGUAAACCUUCCAGUACCCUUUCUUCUAAGAAGUGCUGUACUGCUGUUUGUUCUUUAUCUUUUAUUUGAAUGUGAAUAAGAAAUAAAAUUUGGGGCUGGAGAGAUGACUUCAGUUUGAGAAAGCUUGCUGCUCCUUCAUAGCACCUGGAUUCAAUUCUCAGCACACACAUGACAUCUC
rnacentral:lncRNA from 1 species